CAUCCCAAUGACAUCUCCUUAAUCGGAGAGUUCCCUUCGGGGACAUUGGUGACAGGUGGUGCAUGGUUGUCGUCAGCUCGUGUCGUGAGAUGUUGGGUUAAGUCCCGCAACGAGCGCAACCCUUGUCUUUAGUUGCCAUCAUUAAGUUGGGCACUCUAGAGAGACUGCCAGGGAUAACCUGGAGGAAGGUGGGGAUGACGUCAAAUCAUCAUGCCCCUUAUGCUUAGGGCUACACACGUGCUACAAUG
rnacentral:rRNA from 1 species